rnacentral:rRNA from 1 species
AGCGAACGCUGGCGGCGUGCUUAACACAUGCAAGUCGAACGUGAACGUGUAGCAAUACACAAGUAAAGUGGCGUACGGGUGAGUAACACGUGGGUAAUCUACCAAAGAGCCUGGAAUAACCGGCCGAAAGGCUGGCUAAUACUGGAUAGUUCAAAUGCAUUAUAACGAUGCGAUUGGGAAAGGGAGCUAGCAAUAGCCUUCACUUUUGUA